CUCUGGCCUAGCAAAACCACUCUGGCUGCAGUGUUCCCUGGCUUCCUUCUAGCCUGCUGCAGCUGCUGCUGGUGUGGGUGACUGCUGAAUAUGCAGAUGACAUCCAAUUCUAUCGUUCAUUUCUAUCCAAUUCCAGGAAGGCAGUUGUGCUCCUGAAACACUUUGCACAUGAGGUGGAACACUACCUAAGAGAUAAGAACCUGGCCUUCAAAGCACUGCUACUCUUGGAUAAUGCCCCAGAGCAUCCUCCGGACCUGCUGCUUGCCUACCCUUACGUGGAAGUGGUUUUCAUGCCUCCAAACACCACAUCCCUCAUCCAGCCGAUGGACCAAGGCAUCAUCCAGGCUUUCAAGAGUUAUUACACCAGGUGGACCUUCAAGCACAUAGCUGACCUGAUGGAUGGAGACUCCAACACGACUCUGAAGGAAGCCUGCAAAGCUACAACAUCACUCAUGCCUUGAACAUCAUCAAGGAGGCAAUGGAUGAGGAGGAAGCGGAGGAAGAGGAGGAAGACAGCAGGGCCACAGGAAAGGUGACACUGGAGAAGAUCAACCAGUUCCUGAAGCAUGCCUCAGAGCUGGCAGAUAAGGCAGUGGAAACCGACCCCUUCAUGCAACACAGCCUGGCAUUCAGGUGGGGAAUGAAUGAUGUGAUUCAGUCCUACACAGAGGUCCAAAAAGUCCUCCAGAAGAAGAUGGCUCAGCUGACCCUCUUGAGCUUCUUCAAGAGAGCACAGCCUGGCAGUUCAGAGCAGCCUGGCAAUUUGGGGAGCACCUGUGAAGUGCCUUCAACAGAGGGUGCAUCAUCGGAGGAGGAUGGUGCUCGUACCCCCUCUUCCCCUUAAAAAUCCCCCUUGUCACCCCUCCCCUCUCCACCCAACCCACCCCUCCCACAGCUCCCUUCCCCCUGAUUACAACCCAUAACAUCCCUCCUACCCUUCCCUCUCAGCAUCUUAACCAUCUGCAUGGCUCUCAGGUAGGAAAAGCUCCUAACGAAGAUUUUUUUUGUUCUGCUGACUCCUGGUGAUUUUAAAGUGCACUUGAAAGGUUUUUUGUUUGUUUGUUUUGGUGGGGGGUGGUUUCAGGGAUAUUCAAAGGGUUCAAUCUGCUCAUCCCACUUGGUGACUCUUGGCAGCCCUUGCUGAUCCGUGGUGACCCUUGCUGACUCCUGGUGACUUUAAAGUCCACCUGAGAGAUUUCACAACUUUUCAAGGAGCUCAGUGUGAUCAUUCCUGAUGAGUUUGGGUGAUUUUAGGGGUUUUAAAAAGCAUUUCCCCUUGAUCUUUAUGUGAUUUUGUGGUUGUGGUUCCCCUAAGCCCCCUUUCCCCAUUGACUUUAAUGCCUUGCUAGCCAUGAAUUUGCCAACUAUGAGGUUUUUGCAGGAUGGAACCCUUGCGGUUGGUGAGGGAUGACUGUACUCAGUAUUCAUGGAGGCAGUUCUCAUGAUCAGUGGGAGCCACCUGGGGAGGGUAAGCAAGGAGAGUGGGUUUAGCCUGCUCUCCUCGCACACGAGCAGGCGGUCUGCUCCGGGCGGCCGAAGUGGCCAGUCACACAAUUACCGGCUCUGUUAUGGAGCCGGCGGGGGCUGGGGGGAUUGGGGGCUGCAUGGCCCCCGGAAGCUCCAGCAUGCCCUGCACGAGCGCACAGGGCAUGCUGGAGAGACCCCUGAGCCGGGAGGCUGCCUUUAAGCCUCCCGGUCGGGGUCUACUCGUGAGUAGCCAUGGUGCAGAGUCACGCCACGGCAACACACGAUUUAAAAAAAAUGGGUUUGUGGAGUGCUCGCUCAGCAAACCUGCUUUUAGGGCAGGGGUAGUUUAGCGGGUUAACCGCUUGGGGGCCACUGGGCUCACCUGUGAGCCCGGUGGUUCUCACAGUCAGGCGAAAUCGGGCUAGGGUCACCUAGCCCAAUUUCUCCUGAUCACUGAAAAAGCCUCAUGGUUUCCUUAUCUGCUGUAAUGGCUCUAAUACUGAGGUUAUCUUGUAUUUGACCAUUUUCCCUACAAGUACUCUCUUUUUAUGAAUCAAAAGCUGCACAGAUCAAUAAAGGCUAUAAAAAGCUACCCUCUUUUAGAUGUGCAUUUAAGUAUCAGAUAAUGCAAGACAAAGCAGUUAUCUACAGUUGACUGCUCCUUUCUAAAACCCACCUGCUCUUCAACAGAAGAUAUAAUUUACAUCUGCCCACUUGCAAGUUUAUGAAGGAGGAACCUAGCAUAGAUUUUUUUCCAGCAAUACCAAUGAAAUUAAUAGUCCUACAAUUCAUUGGGUCUUGUCUAUUCUGCUUCUUAUACCGUAUAACAGAACUAUAAUACUGAGUUUACAACCUUUUGGAAUGCAACCUGUAUUACAGUAUCUAUAUUGUACGUGUAAACAAUUCUGCCAAUAGUGGGGCCCACCAGCCUGAAUUACUUUUGAAGAUUUCAGGAGGGAGGAAAUCCUCCCCUGAGGCCUUGUUGUUUUUCAAAAAUUGUAGCAGAGAUUUAAUCUCUUGGACAGAAACUGGAAGCUACAGGGGAAUAGGCUCUUUUCUUUAGAAACACAAGUGUAAUCAAGCACACUACUAGAAAAAACUGAAUGCUAUGUGAAUGGGUAGAUAAAGCUUGAAUCCUUGCACCCUAACAUCUGCAAACCACACUUGUACAUCAGUGUGAACAAGUUUAAACCGGAUCCAUUAAUCCUUUCAUUCUGAGAGUACAAAUAAAUAAUGUCUGACAAGGGCUCUUCAUUGAUACCACACUGAGCAACAAUUUCUAAUAAAGAGGGGCCUACUCUAGUGUUAAAGUCACCAAAUGCUGCUAUUAGAAUCUUUGGGGAUUUUAAGUACUGUAUAACUCCUCCAAAACGUGUUCCAAAAUCAGCCACAUAGUAGUGGGGUAGUACCUAGUGUUGGAAGUUAAAGGACUUUGCGCUGUCUCUUUGCCUCAGACAGUGGAGGACAGACUAGUAAGUCAGAGGGCUAGAGAGUCAAGACAUUGGUCAUCACUUCUCCACUGCUCUGAUGCUAUCCCUUUGAAAUGUAGAUUGCUACUCUUAGGGAUCAACUUCCUUCCUCUCUCCUCUCUUCCCUACCUGCCCUUCUACCUUGCAACAUGGCAAGCCUCUCUCCCUGCACCAUAUGUGCAGAGAGGAUGCAGAAUCCAUCUGCAUCCAGCUAGAUAGAUAGAUUAGAGAUCCUAACUCCUCACUUUCCUGUCUAGAAUGGAGUUCCUUAAUAAAUGCCUUUUAUAUUGAUUUGAAACUAUGAAUUGGCUCCAAGUUACUUUACUCUCAGCACACACGCAUGCCUAACUAAAUUUCCGCUGUGUUGUGCCUCUGUGCACUCUGCUAUAAUGAGAAAGGGAUUCUCUCACCACAGAGAAUUUCCAACACCUAGAAGAUGAU